rnacentral:rRNA from 1 species
UAAGGAAUAUUGGACAAUGGAGGCAACUCUGAUCCAGCCAUGCCGCGUGAAGGAAGACGGCCUUAUGGGUUGUAAACUUCUUUUAUACAGGAAGAAACCUUUCCACGUGUGGAAAGCUGACGGUACUGUAAGAAUAAGGAUCGGCUAACUCCGUGCCAGCAGCCGCGGUAAUACGGAGGAUCCAAGCGUUAUCCGGAAUUAUUGGGUUUAAAGGGUCCGCAGGCUGUUUGUUAAGUCAGAGGUGAAGUCCUACCGCUCAACGGUAGAACUGCCUUUGAUACUGGCAAACUUGAGUUAUUGUGAAGUAGUUAGAAUGUGUAGUGUAGCGGUGAAAUGCAUAGAUAUUACAUAGAACACCAAUUGCGAGGGCAGCUUACUAAGUACUAACUGACGCUGAUGGACGAAAGCGUGGGUAGCGAACAGGAUUAGAUACCCUGGUAGUCCACGCCGUAAACGAUGGAUACUAGCUGUUCGGGACCUUGAGUUCUGAGCGGCUAAGCGAAAGUGAUAAGUAUCCCACCUGGGGAUUACGUUCGCAAGAAUGAAACUCAAAGGAAUUGACGGGGGCCCGCACAAGCGGUGGAGCAUGUGGUUUAAUUCGAUGAUACGCGAGGAACCUUACC